ACUAUGGGUCAUGAACAGAUAUGUAGGUUGGCCCAAGGUUUUGUUGUGAAAGCAGCUCCGUGAGAUUAGUUAUGCUGACCACACUGUGUGUGCAUGUGUGUGUCUGUGUGGGGGUGGGCUGUGCAUGUGUAUGUAAGGUACAUGUGCAUGCAUGUGGAGGCCAGAGAUUGAUCUCAAGUAUAAUCCUUCAGGAGUCACCUUGUCUUGUCUGUUGACACUGGGUCUCUCAUUAACCUAGGACCAGCCUAGUUGGUGAGGUUCAAGCCAGCCACACUCCCUGGAGUCUCAUGCUGCAGUUCCCACCACGGGUGUGCCCUGCCUUUUCUGAGACUGGAUGCUGGAUCCCUGGACACGAAGGAGACAACAGUAGUGUCUGUCUCCUGGUGAAGAGGCUCCACAAGGCAGUGACCUUGAGUCACCCUUGCCUCUCCUACAAAGUCAGAAAACCUUCUGUGCACGUCUCUUCUGCUCCCACCUCUUCUGGUUUAUUCUUAGAGAUUCAGCCCUCUCGCGCCCUGUGCUGAUCAGCGCGUUUAACCUUCUCCCUCCUCACAGAUUUCUAAGCUUCUGGUUUUCCUUUUAUCCGAGCCACAGAUAUCAUCUCGUCAGCUCGCUGGGCCAUUUGUCACCAUUUUUACCUGUCACUGUUGAGGAGCAGACAGUAACUAUUAGGAAGUUCUAGGUAUUUCACGAGGAUGUUAAGAAAGCCACAUUCCCCUUCUCUCCCAUACCAUGAAGGGAUCGACUCGGAAAAAACCAAAAGGGCAAAGUCCAGUAGCACAUUUGGAGGCACGGGUCGCUGCUAAACGAACACCUCAGGCUUCAAGCAAGCACAGCCCUCUUCCAUUUCAAGGCCUGAUAAAGUCUCUGGUUUUCCAGCCUGGUCUACAGAGUGAGUUCCAGGACAGCCAGGGCUACACAGAGAAACCCUGUCUCGAAAAACAAAAAACAACAAACAAAAAAGUGCCGUACACCAGGAACUCGGGGCGCUGUCUUUUUGUAGUAGCAAAGUAAGAAGUGAGGGUGUGCUGAACCCACACAUAAAACCAAUCUGUAAAUGAGUUGUGUCAGCCUUUGCCUCUCUCAAGGCUUCCUUCCUUCCCCAGCUUCUCCUUUCAUUCCUUUCCCCCCUCCUCUGUCUCCCUUUUACUCUGUUUUCUUUCUUUCUUUUUUUUUUUAAAGAUAGGAACUCAAGUAACUCGGACUGAUCUCUAACUUUCUAUCUCACCAACAGCAGCUUUGAACUCCUGAUCCUCCUGUGUCUACCUGCCAAGUGUUGGGACCACAGGUCUGUGCAGUCGCACCCAGCAUCUUCAGGGACCACAGUGCUUCCUGACCACCUUCGUGCUCCUCCGUCACUCUGCCCUGCCAAGGCUUAUCUGGUGCCUGUAGUCUCCAGGCACGAACAGAGCACAGUGGUGAGAGGUCUGCUUUAUCCACAGCAAGCAGACAAGCUGGCCAAGGAGACAUGAAUCAAACACAAUGGAGAGGUUCUAGAGACACCAGCUCAAACCAGAGCUGAAUAGACUUAGAAAUCCUGAUAAGGAAACUGAUGACUGAGAUGGACACAGGGUAGAUGUCUGACUACAGUUCACCAGGACAGUAAGAGACACCUGUGCUUCCUGCUCCCUGUGACAUGCGUGCUCCCUGGGACGUGGCUGUCCACAUCCUGGCAUGGCAGCUUGUCCCAAGGUGAGGAAGGUCUGGAUGCCAAAUAACAACAGCAGCAAGCCGGUCACAGAAGGGAAGAGGUGCCAGGGAGAAGAUGCUGGUGCACCUGGGAUGGCUUGCAGCAAACCUCAGAGCACACACCUGCCCUGGUUUCUAAGGGGAAUCCCAACACUACAUCUUAAUGCUGUGGUCACAAUGCUGCUUGAUGCUAGGAUAAAAGAUGAACUGAUGACAGGGGACAGAGGGAUUUAACAUGAAAGCAUCUGCCAGCACACAGCCACCAGUUAGAACAUUUUCCUAAUCCUGACAUGAAUUAUAGAUUAAAAAUCAGUCCUAAAACC